AGACUGCGAGUGAAAAUAUCCGUAGUCAAAAGGAGAAUAAUCCAGAUCGCCAGCUAAGGUCCCCAAAUCAUACUCAGUUCUUAAGGAAGUCAGAUUGCCGUGACAACCAGGAUGUUGGCUUAGAAGCAGCCAUCAUUUAAAGAGUGCGUAACUGCUCACUGGUCGAGGAAUUUGGCGCCGAUAAUGAUCGGGAAUAAGUAUGAUACCGAAGCUGCGGACUUCGUAAGAAGUGGUAGGUGAGCGUUCCAUUCAGCGUUGAAGGUUAUCCGAAAGGGUUGCUGGAGCGUAUGGAAGUGAAUAUGCGGGCUUGAG
rnacentral:rRNA from 1 species